rnacentral:lncRNA from 1 species
GGCAGGCCUCCUGCUUUAGGCCUACCCGGCCUGCACGAGCCUCCCACUCCCCUCAGAUUGUCCACCCGCCCGUAGCCACUGCGGCCCUCACCUUGCCUACGAGACCGGCCUUACCUCUCCCAGUCAAGCCUGCCUAAAUCGGGCAAAGCCGGGCGCCGCCGACGGUGAGGACCAAAGAAUAUUCACCACCUUCACAGUCCGGCUGCUCCUACUGCAGCCCAGCGCGCACAGCAACUCCCAGCAUGCACGGCGACCGGCCGGCUUCGGCGGCCCCGCCCCGGCUCCGCCCCACCACGUGACCUGCUUUCGGGUCGGUCCCCGCCUACUUCCGUCCCUCCGCUCUCCCGGAGGAGGGAGGAGGCAGCUGGGGCUGCUCAAGAGUAGCAACUUCCUCCCUCUUCCCGCCCCCGCCCGGCUACCCCCUGCUUACAAUGGCUUCCGGGUCGCCAGCGCCUUGGAGCCUUCUGGGAAAACCAUCUCAUUUCCUCCCCUCCCCCUCCUCCUUGCCGUCCACCAACCAGCCUCCCGUCAGAACGGGACAUGCGCACUCCAGGGAAGGCACUCAAAAGUGGGGGGCAGGAAAGAUAACUUCUACAAGAACCUGUGUAUUGGAUCCUAACUAAAUCAAAAUGUUUGAAAUCAGAAGAUCAUGAUCGGUGAGUGGCAUUUCUCAAUUUACUGUUUUCUGGAUGUGACAGUGUAGAAAGAAUGUCUGGGUUGUUGGUAUAGUAUAUUGACAUGGUUACUGGAUUCCAGUGUUUUGAAUAG